rnacentral:lncRNA from 1 species
GAUGAGAGGCGCUGGAUAACUCGAUUAGUGAAUGGAGAUGACGUUCAUGGCCCGACUACAGCCUUCUAAGGCCGCGCCUUAGCAACCGAUACACCGCCUCCAAUGGCUGUCACGAUCUUGUGGAGCGCAACACCCGGCCACUAGGGCACUCAUCCUGCAAGCAAUCGAAGAACCAGCAAGAACAAGUAGAACAAGUACUAAAUUACUAGAUGUAAAUGAAGGUUUCAAACUCAAUCUCUAAUGAAGUGGGGUUUCGAAAACAAGAAGACGGGCGGCUGGAUCAGCACGCGCGUUUACAAGCAAGUAGCGAAGGCUAAACUUUAUCUAAUCAAAACCCAGUUGUUCAUGGCGGCUCUAGAUGUAAAUAAAUAGAGGGG